AGAGUUUGAUCAUGGCUCAGAUUGAACGCUGGCGGCAGGCCUAACACAUGCAAGUCGAACGGUAACAGGAAGCAGCUUGCUGCUUUGCUGACGAGUGGCGGACGGGUGAGUAAUGUCUGGGAAACUGCCUGAUGGAGGGGGAUAACUACUGGAAACGGUGGCUAAUACCGCAUAACGUCGCAAGACCAAAGAGGGGGACCUUCGGGCCUCUUGCCAUCAGAUGUGCCCAGAUGGGAUUAGCUUGUUGGUGAGGUAACGGCUCACCAAGGCGACGAUCCCUAGCUGGUCUGAGAGGAUGACCAGCCACACUGGAACUGAGACACGGUCCAGACUCCUACGGGAGGCAGCAGUGGGGAAUAUUGCACAAUGGGCGCAAGCCUGAUGCAGCCAUGCCGCGUGUAUGAAGAAGGCCUUCGGGUUGUAAAGUACUUUCAGCGGGGAGGAAGGUGUUGUGGUUAAUAACCGCAGCAAUUGACGUUACCUGCAGAAGAAGCACCGGCUAACUCCGUGCCAGCAGCCGCGGUAAUACGGAGGGUGCAAGCGUUAAUCGGAAUUACUGGGCGUAAAGCGCACGCAGGCGGUCUGUCAAGUCGGAUGUGAAAUCCCCGGGCUCAACCUGGGAACUGCAUUCGAAACUGGCAGGCUUGAGUCUUGUAGAGGGGGGUAGAAUUCCAGGUGUAGCGGUGAAAUGCGUAGAGAUCUGGAGGAAUACCGGUGGCGAAGGCGGCCCCCUGGACAAAGACUGACGCUCAGGUGCGAAAGCGUGGGGAGCAAACAGGAUUAGAUACCCUGGUAGUCCACGCCGUAAACGAUGUCUACUUGGAGGUUGUGCCCUUGAGGCGUGGCUUCCGGAGCUAACGCGUUAAGUAGACCGCCUGGGGAGUACGGCCGCAAGGUUAAAACUCAAAUGAAUUGACGGGGGCCCGCACAAGCGGUGGAGCAUGUGGUUUAAUUCGAUGCAACGCGAAGAACCUUACCUGGUCUUGACAUCCACGGAAGUUUUCAGAGAUGAGAAUGUGCCUUCGGGAACCGUGAGACAGGUGCUGCAUGGCUGUCGUCAGCUCGUGUUGUGAAAUGUUGGGUUAAGUCCCGCAACGAGCGCAACCCUUAUCCUUUGUUGCCAGCGGUCCGGCCGGGAACUCAAAGGAGACUGCCAGUGAUAAACUGGAGGAAGGUGGGGAUGACGUCAAGUCAUCAUGGCCCUUACGACCAGGGCUACACACGUGCUACAAUGGCGCAUACAAAGAGAAGCGACCUCGCGAGAGCAAGCGGACCUCAUAAAGUGCGUCGUAGUCCGGAUUGGAGUCUGCAACUCGACUCCAUGAAGUCGGAAUCGCUAGUAAUCGUGGAUCAGAAUGCCACGGUGAAUACGUUCCCGGGCCUUGUACACACCGCCCGUCACACCAUGGGAGUGGGUUGCAAAAGAAGUAGGUAGCUUAACCUUCGGGAGGGCGCUUACCACUUUGUGAUUCAUGACUGGGGUGAAGUCGUAACAAGGUAACCGUAGGGGAACCUGCGGUUGGAUCACCU
rnacentral:rRNA from 1 species